CCUUCCACAGUUGGCAAAUCGAGAUAUAUCGAUAACUGUCUUGUAACGCUCGCCAAAACAGCUGCUAUUUUACACUAAACGUACUUUGAUAUGGAGUGUUAUCAGCAAAAAGUGCGGGUAAAUGGGGGAUCAUAUACCAUUCUUAAUGUAAUGCAUGCUUGAAUAAUGACCUUUUUUGACCUGCUGCGGGAAACUGAUUGAUUGUUCAGAUGGCAGAAACAGUUACCUGAUAACAUAAUUGGAUUUUUUUUUAAGAAAACGUGUGUUACAUUUUGAAAAUUUUAAUUCCUGAACAUAUAUUAAAUGCUACAAAAUUGGAUCAGAAUAUUUCCCUAGAAGAUAUUGCAGUACAGUUAAUGGAAGUGCGAAAGAUCUCGCAAAAGGUAUCGAAUGAAAAGGAUAUCCUGAAAUCCAUCUUUUUAGUCAACGAUGAUUUUCUUCAACAGACGCAUAAAUGUUUUGUAGAUAUUCAAGAUCAGAUAAGGAGUCGGUUCGAAGCAAUUGGCAAUGAAAAUAAAGCCAGGUAUGACCAAGUUCAAGAAAUGGCACUGAAUCUAAGGGAGGAAAUAUCAAAGUUAAAAGUUCAAGUGGAACAGACUGAUGAAAUUUUGAAGUCACAAAAAUUCGGUCAGUUGGAAGAGGAACCGUCCAAAAGUUGCAAGGAUUGUGCUGAAGCGUUUGCCCAAACAGAAGAGAGUUAUGAAAUCGUACCGAAUGAGGUCUCAGAUUGCAGUCUUUCUGAAGAGGAACUAAUGUCAUUGAAACAGGGCGUCUCUAUAGCUAUGAUUGAAUCAGAAAAACUUUGCAAAGACGCCAUUCUUGGAAUCUUCAAUAACUUUGAAAAAGAAUAUGAAAGUAUUAAAGCACUUAUAGAAACUAGCUGGGAUGGCAUAAAUGAAGAAGUCGCCAACUGCGGUUCUGUUCUUGACAAGGUGCAUAACAUCGAGCAGACUGUUUUCGGGGUACUUAUUUUCUUACAACAGCAGUCUGUGGAUGGACAAACAAUCAAAGAAACACUUAAAUUCUUCGAUCACAAAUUAAAAAUAUCUAUACAGAAGAUUGAAGCUCGUGCGAACAAAAAUAAUUUGUGUCUUCAAGUUGCCUUUGACAGUUUGCAGAACGCGCAUGCUGUUUUAAAUGUCAGCACUUUAGCGUUUAAAGAUAUAUCGAUGGAUGUUGCUCAAAAGUUGGAUUGCUUGAGCAAGAUGGUGUCGCAGUUUGGGUACACCGCAAAGCUGUUAAAUGAUGCCGAGCACUUAACGUUCUUAAUGGAAAAAAGUAUCUGUGAAUUGGUAUUGAAAGCGGCAAACCUGUCAACAAAAAUCAAUGGUGAUUAUUGUUUUAAGAUUAGUAAAUUAUCGGAAGAACUGCUAGCUCCAGGAGAAAAUCUGUAUGUUUUUUGCAAGACCUUGGAAGAUUUGCAUACUCUUACCGAUGGAUUGAAGUCUCAAUCCCAUCACAAUUCUUUGGACACAGAAACAGCCAAUUUGGAAUUUAAGCAGCAGCCUAUUGGGAAUUUGACACCGGAUGAUAAAACAGGUGAGGUAGGUGAGGUAAAAAUCUGCAAUGACAGUCUUCACAAGAAACUAAAUCUAGAUACUAAUACAAAGUUUUGCUGAAACACUGAACGAAAUUCUGACUGAUACUGAGCAUAACGAAAAUUCGAAAUAAAUAUGUAGACACAGUGGAAAAAAGUUUUAAAAUCGCACUGUAUAAUAUUAGCCAGGACUACCAGAUGUAAAGUUAUAGGUCAUUGACAAGUAGAUCAGACAUUCGAAUUGUAUAAAUUAGCUUUUGAGUAAAACUACAUUUGGCA
rnacentral:misc_RNA from 1 species